UGGGGGGUCGUCUAACGGCAGGAUACCCGGCUUUGACCCGGCUGAUGAGGGUUCGAGUCCUUCGCCCCCAGCCA
rnacentral:tRNA from 1 species